rnacentral:rRNA from 1 species
GCUUGUCUCAAAGAUUAAGCCAUGCAAGUCUAAGUAUAAGCUAAAUUAUACGGCAAAACUGCGAAUAGCUCAUUACAACAGUUGUAAUCUACACGACGAUCAUUACCAUAUGGAUAUCCAUGGUAAUUCUGGAGCUAAUACAUGCUAAAACACCCGACUUUUCGGAAGGGUGGCAUUCAUUAGUGACUCAGAACCAAUCACGCUUGCGUGUUUCUGGUGAUCAUAAUGACGGAGCGGAUCGCAUUUAUGCGACAGUUCGUUCGAGCUUCUGACCUAUCAGCUCCCGUCGGUAGGGUAUUGGCCUACCGAGGCUGUGACGGGUAACGGGGAAUUAGGGUUCGAUUCCGGAGAGGGAGCCUGAGAAACGGCUACCACAUCUAAGGAAGGCAGCAGG